CCUACGGGAGUCUGCAGUGGGGAAUAUUGGACAAUGGGGGGAACCCUGAUCCAGCCAUGCCGCGUGUGUGAAGAAGGCCCUCGGGUUGUAAAGCACUUUCAGUGAGGAAGAACGCCUGGUGGUUAAUACCCAUCAGGAAAGACAUCACUCACAGAAGAAGCACCGGCUAACUCCGUGCCAGCAGCCGCGGUAAUACGGAGGGUGCGAGCGUUAAUCGGAAUUACUGGGCGUAAAGCGCGCGUAGGUGGCUUGAUAAGCCGGUUGUGAAAGCCCCGGGCUCAACCUGGGAACGGCAUCCGGAACUGUCAAGCUAGAGUGCAGGAGAGGAAGGUAGAAUUCCCGGUGUAGCGGUGAAAUGCGUAGAGAUCGGGAGGAAUACCAGUGGCGAAGGCGGCCUUCUGGACUGACACUGACACUGAGGUGCGAAAGCGUGGGUAGCAAACAGGAUUAGAUACCCUAGUAGUC
rnacentral:rRNA from 1 species